rnacentral:lncRNA from 1 species
UACCUCCCUCUCGUUCUUAUCAAUUAUUCACUUGGUAAAAUUUUAUCCCGAUUUUAUUAGUCUCGAUUUUUUUUGUCUAUUGUUUGUUUUUUUUUACUAUGAGGUUUUUCUCCGCUCAUUUUGCUUUGAAUUUUUUUAUUUAAUAAUCUUUAUUCGGAUUUAAACAUAAGAAGGUUAUUUAUAAAAAAAAUAUUGUUUAAUAUUAACCUACAUAGUAGAUUUGUGUAUAUUAAGGACAAUUAAUAUAAUUUUUAGUGAAUAUCUGUUAAUAUUCAUAAGUUUGAAGAGGUGUAUUAUACUUUAUUCUAAUAGUGUAAUAGCAUGAGAACUUAAUUUUCUUUUUAUGCAUCGUGGUAUUAUAGUCGCAACUUGCUUU